UACGUAGGGUGCAAGCGUUAAUCGGAAUUACUGGGCGUAAAGCGUGCGCAGGCGGUUAUGUAAGACAGAUGUGAAAUGCCCGGGCUUAACCUGGGAACUGCAUUUGUGACUGCAUGGCUAGAGUUUGGCAGAGGGGGGGGUAGAAUUCCACGUGUAGCAGUGAAAUGCGUAGAUAUGUGGAGGAACACCGAUGGCGAAGGCAGCCCCCCUGGGUCAAGACUGACGCUCAUGCACGAAAGCGUGGGGAGCAAACAGG
rnacentral:rRNA from 1 species